UCUGGUGGCGAUGCGCCUGAGGGAAACACCCGUACCCAUCCCGAACACGAUGGUUAAGCCUCAGGCGGCCGAUGGUACUGCACUGGAGACGGUGUGGGAGAGUAGGUGGCUGCCAGAU
rnacentral:rRNA from 1 species